AGCAGCCGCGGUAAUUCCAGCUCCAAUAGCGUAUAUUAAAGUUGUUGCAGUUAAAAAGCUCGUGGUUGAAUUUCGGGGUCAGUAGUUCGGUCGUGCCAACGGUAUGUACUGGGCUCACUGAUUCCUCCUUCCUGAUGAACUGUAAUGCCAUUAAUUUGGUGUUGCAGGGAAACUGGACUGUUACUUUGAAAAAAUUAGAGUGUUUAAAACAAGCUAACGCUUGAAUACAUUAGCAUGGAAUAAUGAAAUAGGACGUUCGAUCCUAUUUUGUUGGUUUCUAGGAUUGACGUAAUGAUUAAUAGGGAUAGUUGGGGGCAUUAGUAUUCAAUUGUCAGAGGUGAAAUUCUUGGAUUUAUUGAAGACUAACUACUGCGAAAGCAUUUGCCAAGGAUGUUUUCAUUAAUCAAGAACGAAAGUUAGGGGAUCGAAGACGAUCAGAUACCGUCGUAGUCUUAACCAUAAACUAUGCCGACUAGGGAUCGGAUGAUGUUAAUUUUUAAUGACUCAUUCGGCGCCUUAC
rnacentral:rRNA from 1 species